rnacentral:rRNA from 1 species
AACGAACGCUGGCGGCAUGCCUAACACAUGCCAGUCGGACGAGACCUUCGGGUCUAGUGGCGCACGGGUGCGUAACGCGUGGGAACCUGCCCUUAGGUUCGGAAUAACUCCCCGAAAGGGGUGCUAAUACCGGAUAAUGUCUUCGGACCAAAGAUUUAUCGCCUUUGGAUGGGCCCGCGUUGGAUUAGCUAGUUGGUAGGGUAAAAGCCUACCAAGGCGACGAUCCAUAGCUGGUCUGAGAGGAUGAUCAGCCACACUGGGACUGAGACACGGCCCAGACUCCUACGGGAGGCAGCAGUGGGGAAUAUUGGACAAUGGGCGAAAGCCUGAUCCAGCAAUGCCGCGUGAGUGAUGAAGGCCUUAGGGUUGUAAAGCUCUUUUACCCGGGAUGAUAAUGACAGUACCGGGAGAAUAAGCUCCGGCUAACUCCGUG